ACUCCUACGGGAGGCAGCAGUGGGGAAUAUUGCACAAUGGGCGCAAGCCUGAUGCAGCAACGCCGCGUGAGUGAUGAAGGCCUUCGGUCGUAAAGCUCUGUCCUCAAGGAAGAAUAAAUAGACGGUACUUGAGGAGGAAGCCCGGCUAACUACGUGCCAGCAGCCGCGGUAAUACGUAGGGGGCAAGCGUUAUCCGGAAUCACUGGGCGUAAAGGGGUGCGUAGGCGGUUUUCAAGUCAGAAGUGAAAGGCUAUGGCUCAACCAUAGUAAGCUUUUGAAACUGUUAAACUUGAGUGCAGGAGAGGAAAGUGGAAUUCCUAGUGUAGAGGUGAAAUUCGUAGAUAUUAGGAGGAACACCAGUGGCGAAGGCGACUUUCUGGACUGUAACUGACGCUGAGGCACGAAAGCGUGGGGAGCGAACAGGAUUAGAUACCCUGGUAGCACAGAG
rnacentral:rRNA from 1 species